rnacentral:rRNA from 1 species
ACGAUACUUUCCAGACUUGCUGGGAAGGAAGGUGGCGCACGGGUGCGUAACGCGUAUGCAACCUACCUUAAUCAGGGGGAUAGCCCGAAGAAAUUCGGAUUAACACCGCAUAAAAUCACAGUAUAGCAUUAUACAAUGAUCAAAUAUUUAUAGGAUUAAGAUGGGCAUGCGUGACAUUAGUUAGUUGGCGGGGUAACGGCCCACCAAGACCACGAUGUCUAGGGGAUCUGAGAGGAUGACCCCCCACACUGGUACUGAGACACGGACCAGACUCCUACGGGAGGCAGCAGUAAGGAAUAUUGGUCAAUGGAGGCAACUCUGAACCAGCCAUGCCGCGUGCAGGAAGACAGCCCUCUGGGUCGUAAACUGCUUUUAUUCGGGAAUAAACCUAUCUACGUGUAGAUAGCUGAAUGUACCGAAGGAAUAAGGAUCGGCUAACUCCGUGCCAGCAGCCGC